AACGCGAAGAACCUUACCUACUCUUGACAUCCACGGAAUUUGGCAGAGAUGCCUUAGUGCCUUCGGGAACCGUGAGACAGGUGCUGCAUGGCUGUCGUCAGCUCGCGUUGUGAAAUGUUGGGUUAAGUCCCGCAACGAGCGCAACCCUUAUCCUUUGUUGCCAGCGAUUCGGUCGGGAACUCAAAGGAGACUGCCGGUGAUAAACCGGAGGAAGGUGGGGAUGACGUCAAGUCAUCAUGGCCCUUACGAGUAGGGCUACACACGUGCUACAAUGGCGCAUACAAAGAGAAGCGACCUCGCGAGAGCAAGCGGACCUCACAAAGUGCGUCGUAGUCCGGAUCGGAGUCUGCAACUCGACUCCGUGAAGUCGGAAUCGCUAGUAAUCGUGGAUCAGAAUGCCACGGUGAAUACGUUCCCGGGUCUUGUACACACGCACCGCCCGUCACACCAUGGGUCUUGUACACACGC
rnacentral:rRNA from 1 species